rfam:Rhodobacteraceae bacterium HLTCCO18 ITZY_scaf_171, whole genome shotgun sequence.
GGAGACGUGGCCGAGUGGUCGAAGGCGCUCCCCUGCUAAGGGAGUAGGCGGGAAACCGUCUCGAGGGUUCGAAUCCCUUCGUCUCCG